UUUUUUUUUUUUUUUUUUUUUUUUUUUUGGUAGGCUGUUAUUGCCGAUUUUCUCCUUCUGCUGGUGGUGUUGGGUUUUUUACCCACGUCAUCAAUCUUAGCUCACUCGGCGAGGUAUUGGGGAGGCUCGUUGGGGUCAGAAGUGUUUUGUCAAGCACUGGAUGGGCUGGAAGUUACCGGGUCAGUUGUGAGACCCCAGGUGACUCCCAGAGGGUCUGGGGAUUUGUUUCUGGACUGGUCUGUUUCUGUCCUGUUGAAAUAGCAGGUUUCCUCCCCAGAAACUGAAUUCUCAUUCUGCUGUUUGACGAUGUUCUUGAUGGAGUGGGAGGACAGUGUCCGCCCUCAUCAUCAGGUUGUCCUAGUUGUGUGUUUGAAAUGGGAACAAACAUUUAGCCCUUGAAAGGGGGAAACACUAGUUGUUGCCAACAUCUCUCACUGUGUCUGUUGAUGAGAAGGGGUUAGGAAAGGGAUGGAGUCCCAGAGCAAGCAUGAGAAAAUCCAGUUGAGAGAGUCAAUCUCAGGUUUCUUAAGUGAAAAGAGUGUUUUAAUACAUCGAGCCUUACCCACUCUAACAGAGCUGUGACACUGUGUGCCUCCCCUCCUCUUUUCUCACCUACACCUUGAAAAACUGGCUGCAGUGGCAGAGUGACCCUGGAACUGGAGAGCACGGUGGUGCUGCAGUCCUCCACACAAAGGAAUGCUACAUGGUCGUCUUGUUUUCCAACAGUUUCCAAAGAGAGCCUUUCCUGUAGUUGGUUUGGUUCAGAGGGGAGUUUCCCUGGUAGCUGCAGUUUCACUGGUGCAUCGGUACUUGGAAAUGUCUCUAGAGUACCCAUGCCUGUGGGUGUCCGGAGAAGGAAGGAGAGAAAGGAAUCUGAUAGAACAUUUCCAUGAAAGCUGAAGUCUUUGUGGCUACUUGGUUCUACUCUACAUUUCCCUGUAACAAGAGCAUGAAGUAGUCAAGUAUUUUGCAAGAUGCUGGAAAAUAGCAGGUUCAUUGGCAGGGUGGUAAGGGAUAGUUUCCCUGAGUGGAAGUGAUGAAGAAGGCUCUCUCAGGUUGGAAAAGCUGACGGAAAGGCAAGCACAAAUAUAUUGGCUUGCAGUAAGUGCUUGACUGGCUUGGAAGAAGGGAUCCCGCUAUGCAUAGGCUGUUCAACCAGGCUGAUGUCU